UACGUAGGGUGCGAGCGUUGUCCGGAAUUAUUGGGCGUAAAGAGCUUGUAGGCGGUUUGUCGCGUCUGCCGUGAAAUUUCGAGGCUCAACUCCGGAUCUGCGGUGGGUACGGGCAGACUAGAGUGAUGUAGGGGAGACUGGAAUUCCUGGUGUAGCGGUGAAAUGCGCAGAUAUCAGGAGGAACACCGAUGGCGAAGGCAGGUCUCUGGGCAUUAACUGACGCUGAGGAGCGAAAGCAUGGGGAGCGAACAGG
rnacentral:rRNA from 1 species